rnacentral:miRNA from 1 species
UAGAUUUACACCGGUUAUCGUGA